AUUGAACGCUGGCGGCAUGCUUUACACAUGCGAGUCGAACGGUAACAGGCCUUCGGGCGCUGACGAGUGGCGAACGGGUGAGUAAUGCAUCGGAACGUGCCCAGUCGUGGGGGGUAACGCAGCGAAAGCUGUGCUAAUACCGCAUACGAUCUGUGGAUGAAAGCGGGGGACCUUCGGGCCUCGCGCGAUUGGAGCGGCCGAUGUCAGAUUAGGUAGUUGGUGGGGUAAAGGCUCACCAAGCCAACGAUCUGUAGCUGGUCUGAGAGGACGACCAGCCACACUGGGACUGAGACACGGCCCAGACUCCUACGGGAGGCAGCAGUGGGGAAUUUUGGACAAUGGGCGCAAGCCUGAUCCAGCAAUGCCGCGUGCAGGAAGAAGGCCUUCGGGUUGUAAACUGCUUUUGUACGGAACGAAACGGUCCUGGUUAAUACCUGGGGCUAAUGACGGUACCGUAAGAAUAAGCACCGGCUAACUACGUGCCAGCCGCCGCCGUAACAC
rnacentral:rRNA from 1 species